rnacentral:rRNA from 1 species
GAUGAACGCUAGCUACAGGCUUAACACAUGCAAGUCGAGGGGAAACGACAUCGAAAGCUUGCUUUUGAUGGGCGUCGACCGGCGCACGGGUGAGUAACGCGUAUCCAACCUGCCCACCACUUGGGGAUAACCUUGCGAAAGUAAGACUAAUACCCAAUGACGUCUCUAGAAGACAUCUGAAGGAGAUUAAAGAUUUAUCGGUGAUGGAUGGGGAUGCGUCUGAUUAGCUUGUUGGGGGGGUAACGGCCCACCAAGGCUACGAUCAGUAGGGGUUAUGAGAGGAAGGUCCCCCACAUUGUAACUUAGAAACGGUCCAAACUCCUACGGGAGGCAGCAGUGAGGAAUAUUGGUCAAUGGACGAGAGUCUGAACCAGCCAAGUAGCGUGCAGGAUGACGGCCCUAUGGGUUGUAAACUGCUUUUAUAAGGGAAUAAAGUGAGUCUCGUGAGACUUUUUGCAUGUACCUUAUGAAUAAGGACCGGCUAAUUCCGUGCCAGCCGCCGCGGUAA